UCUCUAUUGUUCAAAUUUUCUGUAAAGAACAUUUGUUUAUUUUUUUAAGUCAUAAAAAUGUUAUUGACAUUUUAAACUCCCAUUUGAGCAAGGGACACAAACGUCCCAGUAAUUGCAGAACCAUUAAUUGUCAGAACCAGAAUUAACAUGGAGAUAUGGCCACACAACCUGGAUGAUGAUGAGAAAAUGAUGCCAUCCAAGCUGCUGCUUAUAAUGUCCCUCCCUCCUCCCUCCCUUCCUUCUUUCCCUCUCUCUUUUUUCUUUAGCCUUACCUCUUCUUUAAAUGAACUUUUUUGAGGUUUGAUUCACCACUCCAGCCUUUUGAGAUCUUGCGAAGAAUUCUAAUUCAUCACUCUAAAAUACCAGUGUCUGUCCAUGGUCAUCUGUAAAUACAAUGAACCUGUGUCUCAAAGCUCACUGUGCAUAUUGGACUAUUGCCCCAGGAAGCCACAUUCCUUACACGUACUUCUCUAGAGAGUCAACCAGAUUUUCUUUAGAACAUCGACAAGUUUUCAAGUAUGUUUCAAAUUUUAAAAAAAAAUUCUGUGUAGAAUAUGUCUGAAAUGCUUGAAAACCUCAGUGAAUUCCAUUUGUUUAAACCAGUGCAUUGUUUACAGAAGGGAUGUGAUCCUGAGUUCUUAACACACUGCCUCCAACUUCAGCCCCCACACAUAUAUGUUCCUGUCUCUGAAUGGAGACAUGGAUAUCAUCCUUCUUGACCAUGAAUGCUACAUGUUUCCCUUUAUGCCUUAGCUGCUAGGAAGCCCAACAGUAAGCUUGAUACUUAAUUAAUGAAUAAUCCUCAGCCUCAAUUUAAAAAUUAAAUAGAUGUCACCAUUUGUAUUUAAUUUGUCCAUUUUAUUCUAUGCAGUUGAUUUGGCUCUUAGGGUUUUAUUAUAAGAUAUUGUACUUCUUCUUGCCAUUUUGGUCUUCAUCCAAGGCAUUGAUGAGUGAGUGAGGACUCUCCCCACUGUCCACUCUCAAGCAUGCUCCUCCUCUGAGUUCUUCUCAGUGGGAUAAAGUGCCAAUGCUGACAGCUUCUGAUGCAGCCAGCGGUCCCUUCCCUGUGUACCUAGGCUGCCUCUGCUGCUGUGCAAUUGCUUGCUACUUCAAGAUUGGGUGGGUCAGCUCCAGGUCUCUUCUUACCCAGGAAAUGGCAGGCCUCAGGAAGGUGACAUCCUCUGAUAGGUCACUUUUGUGGUUCCGGAUUACCUCCAAAGACUUGGUCAACAUCUGUGCAGGGACCCCUUCCCAACCCAGAAAGUGCUGGGGUGUCUAACUUAGAAACUGAUUAUCUUACAGGAUAUUUGCUGGGUGUCCUAACCCCUGCAAGAGAUGGUACACACCCCUUUCUCACUACCCACAGGCAACCUAGAAAACUG
rnacentral:lncRNA from 1 species